CCAGAUAGCAGACGGACUCGGCCCGAAUGUGGCCUCAUGAUGGCACUGCUGGCGUGCUGCCGGCAACGGCAUGCAACAUGUCAGCCAAGUAUGGGCCAGGUGUGGCAAUGAUGGCACUGGAUCCAUGAUGGCAGAUAAUAUUUGGGCCAGUUGUGAUUGGGAGGUAUGUGGCCCAGAUCAGUGUAGUGAUUCUGGCCCAGAUCAGUCUAGUGAUUGUAAGCCACAUUUAAAAUACUGAUUUAUAAUAAAUAAUUAGAAGAAUUUAAGGAUUUUGAGGCUAUCUUAAUCUUAAUGUUAAUUUAACCUUUAUUAAGUAAAAUGUUAGUUUUGUAUUAAAAGAAACUAAUAUAUUUGGACAAUAAUGUUUGUCUACAUUUCAAUUACAUAAACUUGCCUUCAGAUCAUGGGUCAAGAUUAUUUUGUUCAAAUGACCCUGAACUUCCAAAAGUUUUUCUUUCUGAAUUUAAAAGUUUCUAUAACGUUGCUUUGAGAAGCACCAUGGAUCGUUUUUAUUUCAACUUGCGCGAUUUUCAUUGUAGCAGGAGUUUAUUCCUGCUGAAGAUUUCUGACUUCAAUGACUAAACUAUCAUUGUGUACAAUCAGAUGUUAGAUACUGCAGAAAUAAACGUUACUGUGCUGAAGAUUUCUGACUUCAAUGACUAAGUAAAACUAUCAUUGUGUACAAUCAAAUGUUAGAUACUGCAGAAAUAAACAAAAUGUAUUGUUAACCUUCGCGUUACGUUAAGGAUGCGCAGUUUAUUUAUGAAGUGCAACAAGAACCUACACGCGGAUGACAUCAAAGUACUGCGAGAGCGACUCGAAAGAUCAUGGACAGCAUUCUGAUUUCAAAUCACUCUCGCGGUAUUUUAACGUCAUCCGUUUCUCAGUUCCUGCAACUCAGCAUUACGUUGAACACUUUGUCAAAAAUGAUUGAGAGGGCCAAUCAAAUCAAAAAAGGCGAGUGCCACUGGCCAAUCACAUAACAGAAGACGAGCUUUCCUGUUAACGGAAGCCGAGCGGCGGCCAAUCAAAUUAACCAAUAGGCGGGGUUACCAUCGGAGUAGCAGUUACACCGCGUCAAUCAAUCAUAACGGACACACAGAUUUCAAAGGCAGCAGGAUGAAAGAUAGUAAGUACCUGAACUUAAAUAUUUAAACUUUUACAAUCAUAAAAAUGUUUUUGACGUAUAAAGGGAUGCAAACGUUUACGUGAUUCGUGUGUAACGUAAUGUGUGACAAUUAACGUUAUAUUGAUAUUAAAUUAGCUGUUUUCUAUCAGGUUAAGAAAAACUGUGAUCAUAUUAUAAUGAAGUAAUCGAAUUUGGUUAUCUGGUCUUCCUGAUGUUAGAACAUUUAUAUAAAAAAACAUAUUUAAAAAUGUAUUUCUGUAACGUUUAAUUUUCUUUUUUUGAUGAAAGUGUGUCUGUGUUCAUCAAGACAUGAAGACUCUGGAGUGGGACAAGAGAAGGAUGAUGGGGUGUAUAUUCAAAUAGACACAUUAAGUCACAUUGUGAUUUCAGUGAAAGCUGAUAAAUACAGAGGGCUGGACAGUGGUUUCAUUCAUUAGGUAAAGAGGUGGGACAAGGAUGCUGACAGGACAGGAUGAGGUGACAUUCAGGUUAGUGACAGUACAUCAGGGCCACCAUUUAAUUUAAUGUUAAUUUAAUUGCUUCCAAAAUCAAUACUUGACAAAUCUUUAGAAUUAUAUCUGCAAAGCUGAAUUUCUCAUAGGUGGAUAAAGUAUGACAACAAUUGUGAAGACCUUAGACGUCGUGCAGUAUAUGGUUCUUCUCUCUUUCAUUUAUAUUGAUUUGACUUAAUUUUCUUGGUAACUAAUAAUGGGGAUAUUCCUAAUAUAAUAUAUUUUAAAUACAUGCUUAGAACAUAUCUCAUUUGCUCAUGUGCUUUGUAUCUAAAUGAAAAGUACCUCUUUAAGGUCUAAGCUAUGUUUCAUUUUAUUUAGACAUUCAACGCAGACAUUUUCAUCCAAAGCAACUUGAGGAAGAAAACAGAAGCAGUUCAUCCUAAAAGUGGGCUGCUGUAAUGUUUACAUCUAUGGAAAGAGGAGCUGAGAAGAAAAGAUAGGCUGGAAAGCAGUACUUCUUGUUGAGGACAAUCCUGAAUAGGAACACUUUCUCCUAGAUUAUUAUUAGUGUUUGAUUGUUUGUUUCAUUUUUAUGAAUUGUAUUGUUUUAAUUUUUCGUUUUAUUUGAAAUUACCUAAGUUAGAUUCAUGUAUACUUUAACUGGAUCUUGUAUCUUUGCUGGCUGGCUGGCUGUAGAGUUGGUUUCACAUACACAUGAAGUUUCUAAUUAACUAACUUUUAAGUUCAGUUUGGUUUAAACUUGUAUUUACCCAUGGUAAUUCAUUUAAAUUUCUAUUCAUGCUUAUAUAUUAAUUUCAAUGAACUUCUGUAUUUGUGUAUAGCUGGCAAUUUGGGCAAGCUACGUUUAACACACAAAUGUAACUGUCACAAAGGUUUUUUUUAUUAUCAGUUUGUUUUAAACUUUUUUCCUAGUACUUUUGUUUAUUGCUGGCAGUUUAUACUAGAAGAGUUUUAACACAUACAAUGUUGUAGUGUAAUUGACUUGUGUGCUAUUGAUUAAUAAAAAGGCAAACAAUUUGAAAGUAAUUUUUCGUGUGAUUUAUUUAUUAAUAUAAUUUGGGCAAGAUUAGGCUGAGUUAUGGCUCAGUUUUGGAAGUUCUGGUUAAAUGCUGGUUUUAAUAUGGUUGACCUAUGGCUGAGAACUGGUACCGAUGUUAGAACCUGUUCUGGCCCAGGUUUGGGCCAAUUAUGGGCUAUUAUCUGUCAGAGACAUGGGCCAGUUGUGGCCCAUGUGUGGCCUUUGUCCGUAAUUCAGAACUGGGCCACUGUAGGGCCGUCAUUCUUCGUUGUAUGUGGGCCGAGGAAAAACUGGUUGUGUGGGCCGG